rnacentral:rRNA from 1 species
UAACGAAUAUUCCGCAAUGGGCGAAAGCCUGACGGAGCGACGCCGCGUGGAGGACGAAUUCCUUCGGGAUGUAAACUCCUUUUAGGGUUGGGAAAGUUCCAGGUGCUAACACCAUCUGGAGUUGAUCUAGCCCAGAAAAAGCAUCGGCUAACCCCGUGCCAGCAGCCGCGGUAAUACGGGGGAUGCAAGCGUUGUUCGGAAUCACUGGGCUUAAAGCGCGUGUAGGCGGCUCGGUUAGUACCUUGUGAAAUCCCUCCUCUCAAUGGAGGAAUGGCUGGGUAUACUGCCGGGCUCGAGGGAGGUAGGGGUGCCUGGAACUCUAGGUGGAGCGGUGAAAUGCGUAGAUAUCUAGAGGAACGCCCGUGGCGAAAGCGGGGCACUGGGCCUCUCCUGACGCUGAAACGCGAAAGCGUGGGUAGCAAACGGGAUUAGAUACCCCCGUAGUCC